CGGGUGAGUAACACGUGGAUAACCUACCUAUAAGACUGGGAUAACUUCGGGAAACCGGAGCUAAUACCGGAUAAUAUAUUGAACCGCAUGGUUCAAUAGUGAAAGACGGUUUUGCUGCCACUUAUAGAUGGAUCCGCGCCGCAUUAGCUAGUUGGUAAGGUAACGGCUUACCAAGGCAACGAUGCGUAGCCGACCUGAGAGGGUGAUCGGCCACACUGGAACUGAGACACGGUCCAG
rnacentral:rRNA from 1 species